GAGUUUGAUCAUGGCUCAGAACGUACGCUGGCGGCACGCCUAACACAUGCAAGUCGAACGAAGUAGCAAUACUUAGUGGCAGACGGGUGAGUAACAUGUAGGUAUCUGCCCUUUGGCCUGGAAUAACACGAGGAAACUUGUGCUAAUACCGGAUAAGUCUUUACGGAGAAAGCUUUAUGCACCAUUGGAUGAGCCUGCACUUGAUUAGUUUGUUGGUGGGGUAAUGGCCUACCAAGACUGUGAUCAAUAGCUGAUUUGAGAGGAUGAUCAGCCACAUUGGGACUGAGACACGGCCCAAACUCCUACGGGAGGCAGCAGUGGGGAAUCUUGCACAAUGGAGGAAACUCUGAUGCAGCGAUGCCGCGUGAGUGAAGAAGGCCCUUGGGUUGUAAAGCUCUUUCGUCGGGGAAGAAAAUGACUGUACCCGAAUAAGAAGGUCCGGCAAACUUCGUGCCAGCAGCCGCGGUAAUACGAAGGGACCUAGCGUAGUUCGGAAUUACUGGGCUUAAAGAGUUCGUAGGUGGUUGAAAAAGUUAGUGGUGAAAUCCCAGAGCUUAACUCUGGAACUGCCAUUAAAACUUUUCAGCUAGAGUAUGAUAGAGGAAAGCAGAAUUUCUAGUGUAGAGGUGAAAUUCGUAGAUAUUAGAAAGAAUACCAAUUGCGAAGGCAGCUUUCUGGAUCAUUACUGACACUGAGGAACGAAAGCAUGGGUAGCGAAGAGGAUUAGAUACCCUCGUAGUCCAUGCCGUAAACGAUGUGUGUUAGACGUUGGAAAUUUAUUUUCAGUGUCGCAGGGAAACCGAUAAACACACCGCCUGGGGAGUACGACCGCAAGGUUAAAACUCAAAUGAAUUGACGGGGACCCGCACAAGUAGUGGAGCAUGUGGUUUAAUUCGAAGAUACGCGCAGAACCUUACCAACACUUGACAUGUUCGUCGCGACUCUAAGAGAUUAGAGUUUUCGGUUCGGCCGGACGAAACACAGGUGCUGCAUGGCUGUCGUCAGCUCGUGUCGUGAGAUGUUGGGUUAAGUCCCGCAACGAGCGCAACCCACAUCUUUAGUUGCCAUCAUUAAGUUGGGCACUCUGAAAGAACUGCCAGUGAUAAGCUGGAGGAAGGUGGGGAUGACGUCAAGUCCUCAUGGCCCUUACGUGUUGGGCUACACACGUGCUACAAUGGCAUCUACAACAGGAAGCAAAACGGCAACGUUAAGCAAAUCCCGAAAAGAUGCCUCAGUUCGGAUUGCACUCUGCAACUCGAGUGCAUGAAGCUGGAAUUACUAGUAAUCGUGGAUCAGCGUGCCACGGUGAAUGCGUUCCCGGGUCUUGUACACACCGCCCGUCACACCAUGGGAGUUGGUUCUACCUUAAGGCAAGGUUUUAAACCCUUGACCACGGUAUAGUCAGCGACUGGGGUGAAGUCGUAACAAGGUAACC
rnacentral:rRNA from 1 species